UGGAGUUUAGGUUAAAUAAACUUUGAAUUUUCAAGAUUCAAAAUACGUAAGUAGCUUCAG
rnacentral:tRNA from 1 species